rnacentral:rRNA from 1 species
UACGGGGGGGGCAAGCGUUGUUCGGAAUUACUGGGCGUAAAGGGCUCGUAGGCGGCCAACUAAGUCACACGUGAAAUCCCUCGGCUCAACCGGGGAACUGCGUGUGAGACUGGAUGGCUUGAGACCGGGAGAGGUGAGUGGAAUUCCCAGUGUAGCGGUGAAAUGCGUAGAUAUUGGGAGGAACACCAGUGGCGAAGGCGGCUCACUGGACCGGUACUGACGCUGAGGCGCGAAAGCGUGGGGAGCAAACAGG